rnacentral:tRNA from 1 species
GAGGUGCAGUGGGUCAAUGUGUCUGGCUGUUAACCAGAAGGUUGGUGGUUUGAGACCACUUAGGGACA